rnacentral:rRNA from 1 species
AUGCUCCGCCUGCGAGAAUCCAUCGUUUCCCAUCUCCUCUCUUCACCCUCCGCCCCUGCCACAUCCCCACUCCGCCGCCUCCUCUCCGCUGCCGCGGCCGCCAUUUCUCCGAACCCCGCUGGAUUCGCCGUCGAGGAGUACCUCAUCGACACCUGCGGCCUCACCCGGCCCCAGGCGCUCAAGGCCUCCACCAAGCUCUCCCACCUCAAGUCCCCUGCCAACCCCAACGCCGUCCUCGCCUUCCUCUCCGGCCUCGGCCUCUCCGGCGCCGAUGCCGCCGCCGUCGUCGCCAAAGACCCGCUUUUCCUCUGCGCCGGCGUGGAGAGAACCCUGGUCCCCGUCGUCGACGGGCUCGCCGGCCUCCGCCUGUCGCGCCCUGACAUCGCCCGCCUCCUCUCGCUCGUCCGCAGCAACUUCCGCUGCAGAUCCAUCAUCUCCAAGGUGCAGUACUGCCUGCCCCUCUUCGGCUCCUUGGACAACCUCCUCCGCGCGGUCCGGCGCUCAUCCUACCUUCUCUCGUCGGACCUGGACAAGGUGAUCAACCCCAAUGUCGUGUUCCUGCGGGAGUGCGGGCUAGGCGAUUGCGACAUUGCCAAGCUGUGUUACCGUGUGCCGAGGAUCCUGACAACCAACCCGGAGCACGUCCGGGCGAUGGCGGCGUGCGCCGAAAGAUUAGGGGUUCCCAGGGGCUCCGGUAUGUUCAGGGAAGCGCUGCAUGCUGUCGCAUUCUUCAGUGAGGAGAAGAUUGCUGACAAAGUGGAUUAUCUGAAGAAGACGAUCAGGUGGUCUGAUACCGAGGUGGCCAUUGCUCUGUCCAAGGCUCCAGUGUUGCUGAGGAAGUCCAAAGACCUGCUUAGGCGCAGGUCUGAGUUCUUGCUAUCUGAACUCGGGUUGGAACCGGCCUACAUUGCUCAUCGGCCGGUGAUACUCUAUUAUAGCCUGGAGGGCCGGCUCAGGCCUCGACACUAUGUGUUAAAGUUUCUCAAGGAAACUGGAUUGGCCGAUCGCGACUGGAGCUUCUAUAAUGUGGUCACGAGGACCGAGAAGGAUUUCGUGGACAAGUACAUAUGCCCUCACAAGGAAGCUGCGCCACACCUUGCCGAAGACUAUGCAACCGCUUGCAAAGGGCAGGUGCCAACUAACUUCAGAUUUUUACUUCAACCAAAAGUGGGCUGA